rnacentral:rRNA from 1 species
GAUGAACGCUAGCGGCAGGCCUAAUACAUGCAAGUCGAACGGGAUCCAGAUCAAAGCUUGCUUUGGUUUGGUGAGAGUGGCGCACGGGUGCGUAACGCGUGAGCAACCUACCCUUGUCAGGGGGAUAGCCCGGCGAAAGUCGGAUUAAUACCGCAUGACAUCAUUGAGAGGCAUCUUUCGAUGAUCAAAGAUUUAUCGGACAAGGAUGGGCUCGCGUGACAUUAGCUAGUUGGUAAGGUAACGGCUUACCAAGGCUACGAUGUCUAGGGGCUCUGAGAGGAGAAUCCCCCACACUGGUACUGAGACACGGACCAGACUCCUACGGGAGGCAGCAGUAAGGAAUAUGGGUAAAUGGACGGAAGUCUGAACCAGCCAUGCCGCGUGCAGGAAGACGGCCCUAUGGGUUGUAAACUGCUUUUAUACGGGAACAAACGUCGGUACGUGUACCGGUCUGAGUGUACCGUAAGAAUAAGGAUCGGCUAACUCCGUG